rfam:Colwellia sp. PAMC 21821, complete genome.
CGCACCAGAAGAGGCGCAAUUGCCAGGUAAGUAACAUGAGGAGCCCAUCCUUUGAUUGUUACUAAGGGGGACAAUUGCCGAGAAUGUUGAUAGUGGGACUUAUCACAUUCGGUCGCUAAGGCUGAAUCCUUAGGGCUGUCACCGCUAAAAAUACGUUUUUAGCAUAGGGUGGAGAGCUUCUGGCUGA